rnacentral:lncRNA from 1 species
AAAUUUCCUACAAGAAAAGAAGAGCCUGGGAUGUAUGCAUUGGAAAAGGAAAGGUGGCCCAUGUCGAGGCAUUUCCACUGGACCAUCCGCCAAGCGAGUCCCUGAGAGCUGACAGUGCUGCGGGCUGAUGGGCUAACAUGUGCACAAUGAAAGUUCAACCGAGACAGAAACAGCCUUUCGGGGCUGCCUCCCAGGAGGCCACGGAGGACUGUGAUGAUUGACUUGCAGCAGAACCUUGUGCCAUCCCC